AUUUACAAGGGCUAAGAGAGGCCAGAGGGGCCUUCCAGACCAGUCUUGGGCAUUUCCAUGGAAUGCAUUGUUGACAUCACUGGACACCUCAGGGAAGCCAGGGGCCUCCACUCAGCUCAGAGCCUGGCCUGCCUGAGUCUGCUCACCACCCUCCCGGGGAAGGACUCGGUAUAAAGGCAGAUGUUUAUCUGCUGAGUACCUGCUAUGAGCAGAGCACAGUGCCAGGAGCUAUUGUCAAAGAGAAGCACCUUUCCAGGAGCUUCUCAUAGAGAAGGCAAGACUAACACCUGUGAUAUAAUUGUCAAGACACUUGACACAGAGUCUUUAACACGAUUUGUGAUCGUGGGUGGAAGAUGGACUCAGAAGUUACCCUCAGGGAGCUACUGUUUUUGAUGCUGACCCAGAAGCACUUCUUUCCGGUCUGGAGAUGGACAGGCGUCACACCAGCCAUUGAGGAAUCAGGAAUCAACAAGCCAGACCUGGUCCUCAACUUUAUGGAGCUUACAGUCUAGGAUGGAAACAAAUAUGGAGCAUGCGAAUAAAGGGAGACAUUCUUGGGAUGAGUGAGCUCAGGGAGCCAACCCUGGGGUUUGGUUUUUCUUCUCCAAAGUCAGGCCACACAGCUCCUUACUCCUAGAACUACAGUGUCUAAAGAUACCCCAUGAAAACUCUUACUCAGAGCCGACCCUAGAAACCCCAGGUGAUGGACUCAGAGUUCAAAGGGAAAAUGUUUCACAGCCCCAAGUCACUAUCCCCCCAUGCCCUGUUAUUCUUCAGUAUUUCUAUCCCUUUUGCUUAAACCUGUGCACUCUUCCUUAAUAUAUGACAGAAGAGAAAGUCAUAAGAAUAACUUUUAACCUUGGGAUGGAGGAAAACAAUCUGAGAAAGACAGGGUACCCAGAAGUCAUACAGAAAAUACAGAUAUAUUCAAUCAUAUAUUUAAAUAUUGUGAGGCAAAAAUCACAAGGUCAAUGGAGAAAUAAUAGACUAGGAAAAAAGUAGUUGAAACAUGACAAAGUUUAUAUCCUUAACAGACAAUUCGAAAGGCAAAG
rnacentral:lncRNA from 1 species